AGAUCUCUGCCUUCACCUAAGGGCUACAGAAAAUGACAAAGUCCCGGGGACCAGGAUCAUUCAAGGUUAUGGCUGUGGAUUUCACCCAGGAGGAAUGGCAGUACCUGGACCCUCCCAAGAGGGAUCUGUACAGGGAUGUGAUGCUGGAGAACUGUAUCAACCUCAUCUCAGUGGGAUGUCAAACCACCAAGCCUGCUGUUGGAACAAGGAGAAGAACCAUGGAUGGUGAAAAGAAAAAUCCCAAGUGAGAGAUACCCAGAAGAAGUCUGGCAGGUUGAUGACCGCAUGGAGAGGCACCAAGAGGACCAAGAAGCACUUUUGAGGCAUGUUUUGUUCACUGACCAGGAAACUGUGACUAAAGAAAAGGGUAACAGUUGUAAUGCACUUGAAAAUAGAUGUCAUCUGAGCACAGAUUUUGUUUCUUCAAAACAAAGACUCCAGAGAUAUGACUCAUAUUAUGGUAAAAGUUUGAACUAUUUAGACUUAUUUAGUGGCAAUAGAAAAUACGCAAGAAAAAAAUGAAUGUAGUGAGUGUGGGAAAGCCUUCUUCCAGAAGUCAGACCUUAUUAUACAUCAGAGAACUCAUUCAGGAGAAAAGCCCUUUGUAUGUACUGACUGUGGAAAAGCCUUCAGCAGGAAAUCAGAUCUAAUUAUACAUCUGAGAAUCCAUACCCAAGAGAAGCCUUAUGAGUGUACUGAAUGUAGAAAAGCUUUCUCCCAUAAGUCACACCUCAUUGAACAUCAGAGAAUUCACACUGGGGAGAAACCCUAUGAAUGUAAUGAGUGUGGGAAGGCCUUUCUCCAAAAUCACACCUCAGUAUCCAUUAGAGAAUCCAUACUGGGGAGAAGCCCUAUGUGUGUGAUUAAUGUAGGAGAGCCUUCAGCAUGAAGUCGCACCUCUUUGUACGUCAGAGGAUACACACAGGAGAGAAGCCUUGCAUGUGUAUCAAGUAUGAGAAAGCUUUCAGUGAAGUAUCUGGCCUCAUGAGACAUAAGAAAAUCCAUACUGGGGAGAAACCUUAUGAAUGUAAUUAACAUAAAAAAGCCUUUUCUGAAAAGUCUGACCUCAUUAUACAUCACAGAACUCACACAGGAGAAAAACGCUAUGAAUGCGAUCAGUGUGGGAAGGCCUUCCGACAUAGCUCAGCCCUCUUGUCGCCAUAAGAGGACUCACAAAGGAAGAGUUCCCUAAAAGAGAAACUAAUAUGGGAAUAUGUUCAACUAAAAACUACAGUGACAGCCUUCACUAGGAAUCAAACCUUAUUAGAUACCAAGAUGUCCUAAUAAGAAGACUCCUAUGAAUUCAACAUAUUUAGAAAAAUGUAUAGCUCUGUUUCUGUGGCAAUCGUAUUUCAGACGUGAUGCCAAAGUAUUUCUAGAAAACAUUACAGAAAGUACACCUCCUUGUUAAAUGAUAAAUGCUCACUGUGGAUUACAAAGACUUUUGAAAUAUUAAUAAGUGCACUAAUCAGAACAAAAUUGGAAAAUCAUAUGGAAAAUCUGCAAAAUAUGAGGGCAUUAUAUUCCUAGCUGUACUAAAUUAUGUUACGCACUUUACAUAAUCAUAUACAUGUUGGAAUUGCACAUGUGAA